rnacentral:rRNA from 1 species
UACAGAGGGUGCGAGCGUUAAUCGGAAUUACUGGGCGUAAAGCGUGCGUAGACGGUUAUUUAAGUCGGGUGUGAAAGCCCCGGGCUCAACCUGGGAAUUGCAUUCGAGACUGAAUAGCUAGGGUACGGUAGAGGGAAGCGGAAUUUCCGGUGUAGCGGUGAAAUGCGUAGAUAUCGGAAGGAACAUCAGUGGCGAAAGCGGCUUCCUGGACCAGUACCGACGUUCAGGCACGAAAGCGUGGGGAGCAAACAGGAUUAGACUACCCCGAGUAG